rnacentral:lncRNA from 1 species
CUUGUUCAAGUCCACAACGCACCCGGUGGUCCUGCAGUUCCCUCCGGUCCCGCCGUCGGCCACCACCAAAAUGGGAAGGUUAUACCCAUCGAUCAAGCUCACGGCGUAGAAAUCAAGCCCGCCCGUACCGUUCAGCGUGAACUCUGCGAGAGUAGCCGGCGGCGCGGCCCCACCGCCAGCACAUUCGACUGCAGAAGAUCCGCAGUCGCCUGUCAAGCAAGAGAAGUUGCCCGUGGUUGAGUCCUGGGAGCAGAGCGUUCGCCCCCACAACCUACCGGACCACGAGGUGGGGACCGAAAACGUGUUGGACUCUCCAGGAGCCAAAGCGAAUCCGGUGGUGACCGGUCGCUGGUCAGUCCCGCCAUUAGACAGAAUGGCCGGCCAUAUGGUGGUGGUGCAAUUGUUUGCGAUGGUGAACGUCGCCGGGUAGCCGACUCGAAUGGAUUGAAGGAGACAGAGAAGGAAAAGGAACGAUGAAAAAGCUUGAUGGGAAGCCAUUGGAAGUGAAAUGUGCUCUUUUUGUUUCAGUAGGUGGUGUGGGAGAAUGUUGCUUUUUUAUAGGGAAAGAGGAGAGAGUUAGCAGUCGUGUCGUGUGGGAAGAAUAUGUGACGUGUGUUUUGCGUCUCUAGUUUUAUAGGCGGCAACUUGUGCAGAGAAGGCAUUGUAAUAAUAUGCUAAUCUAUUUUAUUUAUAUGUUUGUGAACUUUAUUACCUGUAAAGCAAAUAUGUGACAAGUGGACAUGUGUCGAAAUUCCACGUUUAAGGUGGAUAUUUGAUUUGACCAAACAUAAAAAAAAAAUUUUAAAAAAAGGUAAAUAGUUGGUACGUUCAUCGACUGCUCUGAUAUUUUCAGCGGACAUGCAGAAGAGUUGUGGUGGGACCACUGCUUAAUAAAUUGGAUAAAGCAGAGCUUCCCCUGAAAUUCCAGAAGAGUUGUGGUGGGAACCACAAAAGAAAUGUGAGAUUUUGAUUUGUGGUUGGAAGUUGGAACCAUUUGAUUUGUGGUUGGAAGUUGGAACCAUGGAAGAGUUGGGAGCACCUUCUUUUCUUUUUCUUUUUCUUUUUUUUUUUUUUUUGGAAUAACCUUUCCGAAGAAAGGAGACAAUUUUAUUUCAAACUUUAGAUUACACAUACAAGGUAGACACUGCCAACGAAGGUAGACAGAGAGAAGGAGAAGGAGGUGGUGUGUUAAACACCCGAGCCAAUGAGUCCACCGGAGCUCUACGUACCCCUAAAACGAUCGCAACCAUGUGCUUUGAAAUCUGACAGCAGAUCGAGUUGAAAGUAUGUGGGGGAAAACAGGCGUUGGGUAGAGACAUUUUGGGUAAAUCAGGAAGAACUGGGAGGAACAGUAACAAAAAAACUGAGAAACAAAAAGCAAAACAAAAACCUUUCCUCCAACCCCCGCCACAGCGAGGGCCUUCGACAACAAUUUUAAUCGAUGAGGGAAUCACUCACACACAGAUGGUGGAAAAGACUCUCAAGAAGAGAGAAGGAACUCUCACACGGAGAGAAAAGUUUCAAUUCUGUACAUGGAUGAUAUUUGUUCAAUCAUAUGUGGUAUCAUCGUCAACUAUUUGGGACACUUAGACCAUCUUCAAUCCAAAUCUUCAAUCCAAGGUUGGUCAGAUGGUUCAUUUUAGCCCCUCUAGCUUUUCAAGAUAUUAAUAUUUUAAUCAACAGUACAUGAUCAUAUUAGUCUCAGAGACCCAGAUGGGAGUGAAAAGGAUUUGCACAUUUAAUUACUAUUUCCUCUACAGUGCAGCUUCAAUAGGUGACAGUAAAAACUCUUGUAUCUACAUUUGUGACAGGAUUACCAAAAAUAAGAACCAAGCAAUGCAUACAAUAGGUUUUGGCCGCUGUUAUCACGAGCCGAAUUAGAGCACCUUCAAUGUUGAAAUAUACAAGAACAUGACAUCCGCCUGAAGGUUCUCUUCAUUUAAAGACCAUCACAGAUUUCCAAAUGUUCAGUUAGUAACUAUCCCUAUUGCCUGACCUAUCAAGUAUCCAUACAGCACAAUGAGCAGGGACCGACAGAUAAGUAGGAAAACGAUUCACUCCAAGCGUGUAAUGUCCAGAAGCGACCGGACCAGCCGGCCGGGGCUUGUUCUAUAGCCGAACGGCCACAUAUAUGUAUGUAAAAGGGGAAAACUUGUUCGCCAAACGACAACACUUAUCAUCCAUCAGAGAAAUUAAAACCCUUUUGCAAAAACCAUCAUAUGUAUAUCCCACCAAAACGCAAAAUUACGGGACCCAAUUACAAAAGACUAAUGCUUUAGCAAAAAAAUAUAAAAGGUUCUUGAAGACAAUAUUUACUAUUACUCUGUCUCUUCUCUUUUAUUUUUCAAGCCUUGGCAUUAGGACGAUUUUAGUCUUAAAAUCAUCAAUAGUGCAAAUGGUUACCCGAUCGAAGGAGCAGGGCAGAAAGUGAUGAUGUAAUUGGCGGAAGCACAGGUGAAGGUGCUGGUGCUGUCGUCAUACGCAUAGCUGUAAGCUUUCGGGCACGCAUUUUUAAAAAACUGCGAGUAAGAACUCGGCACGCAUGUGUCCGGCGUAGCGUACGGCCCGCUACAGCAGUACUGCGGCUCCCCAAGCGCCUCGCACGCGCUUUUACACGCCACUCCCUCCUCACUCGCCGUCACCUUCAGCUCCGAGGGGCACCCCUUGUUCAAGUCCACAACGCACCCGGUGGACGUGCAGUUCCCUCCGGUCCCGCCCUCGGCCACCACCAACAUGGGAAGAUUAUACCCAUCGACCAAGCUCACGUCGUAGAAAUCAAGCCCACCCGUACCGUUCAGCGUGAACUCUGCGAGAGUAGCCGGCGGCGCGGCUCCACCGCCAGCACAUUCGACUGCCGAAGAUCCGCAGUCGCCUGUCAAGCAAGUGAAGUUGCCUGUGGUUGAGUCUUGGGAGCAGAGCGUUCGCCCCCAUAACCUACCGGACCACGAG